rnacentral:rRNA from 1 species
UACAGAGGGGGCAAGCGUUGUUCGGAAUUACUGGGCGUAAAGCGCACGUAGGCGGAUUGUUAAGUCAGAGGUGAAAUCCCGGAGCUCAACUUCGGAACUGCCUUUGAUACUGGCAAUCUCGAGUCCGGAAGAGGUUAGUGGAAUUCCCAGUGUAGAGGUGAAAUUCGUAGAUAUUCGCAAGAACACCAGUGGCGAAGGCGGCUCACUGGCCCGAUACUGACGCUGAGGUGCGAAAGCGUGGGGAGCAAACAGG